GUUGCGAUUCGUCAGGGACGGUGUUGCGAGGAGGAGUGUCUGUCUGUCUGUCUGUGUGUCCGUUUAGUAGUAAGAGCCCAGGCUAGAUUGUGGACCGUGUGAACCUGUCUGGGUACAGUGUGGUGAGGAGGCAGAAGAAAGGGCUGUGUACCCACCGGCCACAUCAGAAUAGAAUGGAAACAAACAGGACUGGGCUGGAAUCACUUUUGUAUCAUAACCCGUCUGAGGAAAUGAGUCAGCCGGUGAGGCCUGUUUGAGACAUGGCGUACAGAGAGCAGUGGUUGUUGUGCUCUCAGAAGUUUCACCCAUCCACCUGAGGUCCAGAAAAACAGGCAAGAGAGACUUUGAGGAGCACUAACCCAUUCACACCCCAGAGCGUUCAGUCCAUUCCUGAAUUUGUCGCACCACUCCACCUUCCAG